rnacentral:rRNA from 1 species
UACAGGGGGUGCAAACGUUGCUCGGAAUUAUUGGGCGUAAAGCGCACGUAGGCGGUUCGUUAUGUCGGAUGUGAAAGCCCUUGGCUUAACCGAGGAAGUGCAUCCGAAACUGGCGAGCUAGAGUACGAAAGAGGAUCGCGGAAUUCCCGGUGUAGAGGUGAAAUUCGUAGAUAUCGGGAGGAACACCGGUGGCGAAGGCGGCGAUCUGGGACGAUACUGACGCUGAGGUGCGAAAGCGUGGGGAGCAAACAGG